rnacentral:lncRNA from 1 species
CAAGAAAAACCUCUUAGAAUGGUAAGAAUUACUUUGUAUUCCAUUCUUAAAGGAAAAGAUUUACUGUAGCUGUGGUAGUUAGCUAUUGAUAUUUUCUUGGAAAUUGAUUUUCCGAUAUAAUUUACUCAUUGACUUUUAAAGUUUAUUGGCCUGAAUUCCCUUGUCCUUCUUUAUCCAGUACCAUACUCUCACAGUCUUAUUCAUGUAGCCUUUGUUUGUCAUAAGGUUCUAUGCUGCAGCUCCUACAAUAGAAGCUCCUGUGGUUGGAAAGAAAGUUCAUUGUUUGCCAGUGUCAAGUGCUACUUGAUUAUUUGUUUAGAACAGUAUUUACUUAUUAAUAUAUUUGUUCAUAAUGAUCCCUUUUUGUUAAAAUUUACAAAAGGUAGCAUUUUUUUUAACUUUAAAUUCAGUCUCCAUCAGUGACUUCUUAAAAAGAAUUUAGAAAUUGAAAAAAUUUUAAAGCCCAAAUGCUCCAGUUUUUAUUUAAAGUCAAAAUUGUUAAUCUGGAAAAUAUUAUAAGUAAUAUUGUGCAUAAUGUCACAUGGGUUUAUUGCCAAUUUUGACUCAUGCUGAUCUGAUUUUUCCGCCCCCAGAAUGUAUAAAAGAGUGUAAGGAUGUAUA